GUCUUCAUGAUGUAGUGGAAGCACGCAUUCCACUGUGGAUGGAACGCGAGUUCAACUCUCGCCUGAGGUUCCA